rnacentral:rRNA from 1 species
ACAGGGAUUACCUUAGUAACGGCGAGUGAAGCGGUAACAGCUCAAAUUUGAAAUCUGGUCCCCUCUGGGGGCCCGAGUUGUAAUUUGAAGAGGAUGCUUUUGGCGAGGCGCCUUCCGAGUGCCCUGGAACGGGACGCCACAGAGGGUGAGAGCCCCGUAUGGUAGGACGCCGAGCCUCUGUAAAGCUCCUUCGACGAGUCGAGUAGUUUGGGAAUGCUGCUCAAAAUGGGAGGUAAACCCCUUCUAAAGCUAAAUAUUGGCCAGAGACCGAUAGCGCACAAGUAGAGUGAUCGAAAGAUGAAAAGCACUUUGAAAAGAGAGUUAAACAGCACGUGAAAUUGUUGAAAGGGAAGCGCUUGCGACCAGACUUGCGCCCGUCGGAUCAACCGUCCCUCGUGGGCGGCGCACUCCGGCGGGCUCAGGCCAGCAUCAGUUUUCCCGGGGGGAGAAAGGCGGUGGGAAUGUGGCUCUUCGGAGUGUUAUAGCCCUCCGCGUAAUGCCCCCGGGGGGACUGAGGACCGCGCGUAAGCAAGGAUGCUGGCGUAAUGGUCGUCAGCGACCCGUCUUGAAACACGGACCAAGGAGUCGUCCUAAUAUGCGAGUGUACGGGUGUAAAACCCCUGCGCGUAAUGAAAGUGAACGGAGGUGAGAGCUUCGGCGCAUCAUCGACCGAUCCUGAUGUUCUCGGAUGGAUUUGAGUAAGAGCAUAUUGGGCCGGACCCGAAAGAAGGUGAACUAUGCCUGUAUAGGGUGAAGCCAGAGGAAACUCUGGUGGAGGCUCGCAGCGGUUCUGACGUGCAAAUCGAUCGUCAAAUAUGGGCAUGGGGGCGAAAGACUAAUCGA